rnacentral:misc_RNA from 1 species
UUUCCGUAGGUGAACCUGCGGAAGGAUCAUUACAGAGUUCAUGCCCGAAAGGGUAGACCUCCCACCCUUGUGUAUUAUUACUUUGUUGCUUUGGCGAGCCCAAGCUCGCCAGAGAAUACCAAAACUCUUUUUAUUAAUGUCGUCUGAGUACUAUAUAAUAGUUAAAACUUUCAACAACGGAUCUCUUGGUUCUGGCAUCAUGAAGAACGCAGC